UAACUCUUUUUUCUUGAUUUGCUUUUUCAGGAGAUGUUCCUGGGAACUCCAUGAAUUCAACCAAUUGCACCAACUGUGGAGGUAUAGUGCUUCCAUGGCACCUGCGCAAAAUUUUAGCAAGGGCCCCAUUUUAUGCUCCGCCUUCGCCUAGAGGCAAUCCUCCAGAUUUUGUAUGAUGACCCAGCUCAUUUGAACUGGUCCGAUCUAUUUGACUGGCCC
rnacentral:lncRNA from 1 species